rnacentral:rRNA from 1 species
GUGGGGAAUUUUGGACAAUGGGCGCAAGCCUGAUCCAGCAAUGCCGCGUGCAGGAAGAAGGCCUUCGGGUUGUAAACUGCUUUUGUACGGAACGAAACGGUCCGGGUUAAUACCCUGGGCUAAUGACGGUACCGUAAGAAUAAGCACCGGCUAACUACGUGCCAGCAGCCGCGGUAAUACGUAGGGUGCAAGCGUUAAUCGGAAUUACUGGGCGUAAAGCGUGCGCAGGCGGUUUUGUAAGACAGGCGUGAAAUCCCCGGGCGCAACCUGGGAAUUGCGCUUGUGACUGCAGUGCUGGAGUACGGCAGAGGGGGAUGGAAUUCCGCGUGUAGCAGUGAAAUGCGUAGAUAUGCGGAGGAACACCGAUGGCGAAGGCAGUCCCCUGGGCCUGUACUGACGCUCAUGCACGAAAGCGUGGGGAGCAAACAGGAUUAGAUACCCCAGUAGUCC